rnacentral:rRNA from 2 species
GCAGUCGAGCGAACUGAUUAGAAGCUUGCUUCUAUGACGUUAGCGGCGGACGGGUGAGUAACACGUGGGCAACCUGCCUGUAAGACUGGGAUAACUUCGGGAAACCGAAGCUAAUACCGGAUAGGAUCUUCUCCUUCAUGGGAGAUGAUUGAAAGAUGGUUUCGGCUAUCACUUACAGAUGGGCCCGCGGUGCAUUAGCUAGUUGGUGAGGUAACGGCUCACCAAGGCAACGAUGCAUAGCCGACCUGAGAGGGUGAUCGGCCACACUGGGACUGAGACACGGCCCAGACUCCUACGGGAGGCAGCAGUAGGGAAUCUUCCGCAAUGGACGAAAGUCUGACGGAGCAACGCCGCGUGAGUGAUGAAGGCUUUCGGGUCGUAAAACUCUGUUGUUAGGGAAGAACAAGUACAAGAGUAACUGCUUGUACCUUGACGGUACCUAACCAGAAAGCCACGGCUAACUACGUGCCAGCAGCCGCGGUAAUACGUAGGUGGCAAGCGUUAUCCGGAAUUAUUGGGCGUAAAGCGCGCGCAGGCGGU